AAAGUGUCAGAGAAGUGGGGGGUGGGCUCAGGUCUGCGCCCCUCCUUUUUAACUCAGUGCCACAUCAGUAGCCACCAACAGCACCGGUGGAUGGAGCCCACUGGUAAAUGAUACAUGUGGCUUUGCAGAGCACUAAUCGGAUGGAGGUUGGUGCUAAGAGACUUUCAGACUCUGAAAGCCAGGGCCUUUAACACAUUUUUUUUCCUCUCAGCACUGGUUGUUUGGGCCAAUUUUUGGUAAUUUCAGUAAUUUUGGCCUGCUUACAGACAUCACUGCUGCUGAAAACCAGUUCUGAGCCCAGGAGACUGCAGCACUACGGAGCUUCAGGGAAGGAAAGCAAACGGCCGCAGGAUCUCCCUGGAUGCUGCCUUAUCCCCACGGGCUCUGACCCUCCCGAGCUGCAAAACACAUCUGAAGGAGGGGAUUGGGUGAGCUCAGGAGUGGAUUUCUGCAGCAACUCCGUGAAGCUGAGAGCUUUUCUAGCAACACACAUUCUGGAUCCUCUCAGAAAGGUGGGACUGCCCAGCCAGCAGCACCCCCUGCUCACCUCAACACAACUCAAAGCCUCUCACCAGCUUAAAGACCCGGACUUGUCCUUCGAAAGCUCCAUGCUGAAGAGUUGCUAUUAUUUUUCACGUAGACUUCACUGGAUUUGAUUCCCCGAAGAGCAUCUGGGGAGCACUGGGGGAACAGAGAAGGGCUACAGCUCUGUGCUCAUCCCUACUGCUCCGGGGUGAAGGUGUGAGGAGCCCCAGCCCUGAGCAGAGCAUAUGGUGGGCACAACCCAACCUGUCCCCACCAGCGGCCCCAGCCCAAGGGAUGC
rnacentral:lncRNA from 1 species